GACCUUGUAGCUCAGUUGGCAUGCAUUGAGUGUUGGACUGACAAGCCAAAAGUCGCGGGUUCGAUUCCCACCGUGGUCA